UGUAUUGUUUCCAGCAAGUUGGCGGUAGUGUCGUCAUAAGUCUUUCCUAUUGAGCUGAUUACUGAUCUCUGCAGCCUUGCGAUUGUGGCGGUUUCCUGUUCUCGAGGCUCUUUGCUUCGACGGGUUUGAAACUACACCUGAAGAGAGCGGGACCAAGCUGCCAUUUCCUGCACCUCUUAUCGUCAUUUGCCGAAUUAUACUUCCUUGACAAUUGUUACCCUGCUUUUCUUUUGUGGAGUUGUGGGAAUCUAGAGUUAUAAUUUUUAGUUGUUGUGGCACUAUUCAUUGAUUCUACUUUCCUGCUCGUCAUCGGUAGUAGUGGAGCAUUGAAAUGAUCUCCUUCAAUUUUUGGUUCAUCUUUCAGUUCAUGCAAGGGAGUGUCACCUACGAUGGCCCUUUGUUUUCCCUCCCUAAUGUUAUUAUUAUUAGUUAUAGUUGAUUGAAAGACGGUUAGUCCUUUCUAGUCGUUUACUGAAACGGCAGCGCUGCUGGUAAUCUCGCUAUUGUUGAAGUGGGGAUGCGACGGUGGAAGUGCUGAAGCUGCAAUACAAGUGGCAAAGAGCGGCGACGUCUUCCGAAUUUGGUCCUGCAGUGGAGAUGAUUGUUGUCUGCGGCGAUUGAUGUUUGUGAAAGCCAAGGGAUUCUGGUUUUUUUGGUGUUUUUUUCCUUGCGACGAACCGUUGGUGUGUAUCGAUCGCUGGAAGUGAGCUAGAAGAGUUCCCACAAUGGUGCUCUGGGCAAUUUUGCUAGCACUGCCGUACAUACAUACAAGAGUGUUUUGUUUUUUGUAAGCUACAACAAAAUCGAGUGAAUUGAGGAAAUCGAUGCUGCAUAUACAAUUGCCAAUAUCAAGUCCAUAGAUCUAGGAGGCGUUGAGACUAUCCCAAUCGAUCGAAGGAUCUAGCGCGUACUAGUUACUGCCUCAAUAUAUGAUCUAGUCACUGGGAUCUAUUCAUGUUCAAUCAAUCUAGAAGUUGAAGAGCUACCACUAGUUGAGGAAUCAAAGUUGCGGUUUGAGAGUGGAGCGCAAGGAGCCCAGCAGAGAUUAGCGAUCAUUGGUGGAGGAGAAAAAUUCGAAGAUCACCACAGUCAUUGCUGUGAAGCAGGGAAGCUUGUCUGAAGCCGCAUCACCCUCCUCUCAGUAAGAACAAGGAGGUCAAUUUAGAGGGAUGGAAAAUUAGACUAGGAUGAAGUUAGGUUUAGGGCUGAAUUAGGUUAGUUUGGAUAAACAAUCAAGGUUGAAUGAAAAAUGCAAAAUUAACUAAAAAUUAUUUAGAUGAAUUCUCAUAUUUGGAUGAGAUAUUAUACUUGGAUGAAUUAUUAUUCAAAGAUGAUUUUUUU